ACCCACUUGCCUGGUGGGGAGUUUACCGAUGGUGUUCAAAGAGUUCAUUGUUCUCUUUGUGUUUUAUAUAUUCAGGUCUGUUGGUAAAUAUGAGAAACUAGGAAACCAAAAGGAAUAUAUAACAGAGAUGGCAACGAUUUAAAAUCUCAAAAUAAGGUUGAUCUAAAAGGAAAUUUGGCAACCAUUUUACAAAAAAAAAAUUUUUUAAUGCAUUUUCCUUAGCAGGGUAGAUAACACAAUUGCUUAAAUAAUUGUCUAGACUUGAUUGCUGAGAUUUUUCAACUGUUUUUUAUUUGUGAGAUUUGAAAAAAUACUAGGGAAAUUUAUUUGCCAAGAGUUGAGUCAAUCAGUUAAGCAGCAAUUAAAAAUUCCGUUGAGAGGGACAUAAUAAUUUGAUUCUUUUUAUU
rnacentral:lncRNA from 1 species